GAUGAACGCUGGCGGCGUGCUUAACACAUGCAAGUCGAGCGAGAAAAGCUCUUCGGAGCUUUUCUAGCGGCGGACGGGUGAGUAACACGUGGGCAACCUGCCUCAUAGAGGGGAAUAGCCUUCCGAAAGGAAGAUUAAUACCGCAUAAUAUUGUUGAAAGGCAUCUUUUAAAAAUCCAAGGAGCACUCCGCUAUGAGAUGGGCCCGCGGCGCAUUAGCUAGUUGGUGAGGUAACGGCUCACCAAGGCGACGAUGCGUAGCCGACCUGAGAGGGUGAUCGGCCACAUUGGAACUGAGACACGGUCCAGACUCCUACGGGAGGCAGCAGUGGGGAAUAUUGCACAAUGGGGGAAACCCUGAUGCAGCAACGCCGCGUGAGUGAUAAAGGUCUUCGGAUUGUAAAGCUCUGUCUUUAGGGACGAUAAUGACGGUACCUAAGGAGGAAGCCACGGCUAACUACGUGCCAGCCGCCGCAGUAAUAC
rnacentral:rRNA from 1 species